UGGCAGAGAUGGCACGUUGAU
rnacentral:miRNA from 1 species